GUUUUAUCUCUUGUUAAGAUAUUUCUUGGUGGUUUCCAAGUGGUUUGAGGUUUAGAAAAGCUAGAAGAGAUUGUUUUCGCCGAAAAGUUGCUCGGAUAAGCACAUCAACACCUAAGACACCACUUGUUACACGGUGAAUUAUAUUUUGGACAGAAGGUAGAGAAAGAAAUGAGUGAAUGACAUAAGGAGAACUGAAGCAUGGUCCUGACCCUGAUUUGUACAUAUGAACACAUCGACCUUUUGUGGGUUAUUUCAGUUUACCAAUGUGAUAUUUGUAAUAAAGUGUGAAGUUAUGUUUUGAAAACAAAUUGGGUUAUUUAAUACUUAUGUAUAAUAUGUUUGAGA